UACGUAGGGGGCAAGCGUUGUCCGGAAUUAUUGGGCGUAAAGAGCGCGUAGGCGGUCCGAUAAGUCGGCUGUGAAAGUCAGGGGCUCAACCCUUGGAAGCCGGCCGAUACUGUCGGACUAGAGUCCGGAAGAGGCGAGUGGAAUUCCCGGUGUAGCGGUGAAAUGCGCAGAUAUCGGGAGGAACACCAAUGGCGAAGGCAGCUCGCUGGGACUGUACUGACGCUGAGGCGCGAAAGCGUGGGGAGCAAACAGG
rnacentral:rRNA from 1 species